rnacentral:tRNA from 1 species
UGCCCCAUAGCCAAGCGGUAAGGCAACGGGUUUUGGUUCCGUCACGCGUUAGUUCAGAAUCUAACUGGGGCAGCCA